UGCUUGCAUCCGCUGACGAGUGGCGCACGGGUGCGUAACGCGUAUACAAUCUACCUUUUACAGGGGGAUAGCCUUUAGAAAUGAAGAAUAAUACCCCAUAGUAAGUUUAUAUGGCAUCAUAAAUACUUUAAAGAUUUAUCGGUAAAAGAUGAGUAUGCGUUCUAUUAGCUAGUAGGUGUGGUAACGGCACACCUAGGCAACGAUAGAUAGGGGCCCUGAGAGGGGGAUCCCCCACACUGGUACUGAGACACGGACCAGACUCCUACGGGAGGCAGCAGUGAGGAAUAUUGGACAAUGGGCGAGAGCCUGAUCCAGCCAUGCCGCGUGCAGGAAGACUGCCCUAUGGGUUGUAAACUGCUUUUGUAUAGGAAGAAACAGUGGUACGUGUACCACUCUGACGGUACUAUAAGAAUAAGCAUCGGCUAACUCCGUGCCAGCAGCCGCGGUAAUACGGAGGAUGCAAGCGUUAUCCGGAAUCAUUGGGUUUAAAGGGUCCGUAGGUGGAUAAUUAAGUCAGAGGUGAAAGUCUGCGGCUCAACCGUAGAAUUGCCUUUGAUACUGGUUAUCUUGAAUUAGUGUGAAGUGGUUAGAGUAUGUAGUGUAGCGGUGAAAUGCAUAGAUAUUACAUAGAAUACCAAUUGCGAAGGCAGAUCACUAACACUAUAUUGACACUGAUGGACGAAAGCGUGGGGAGCGAACGGGAUUAGAUACCCCGGUAGUCCACGCCGUAAACGAUGGUCACUAGCUGUUCGGAUUUCGGUCUGAGUGGCUAAGCGAAAGUGAUAAGUGACCCACCUGGGGAGUACGUUCGCAAGAAUGAAACUCAAAGGAAUUGACGGGGCCCGCACAAGCGGUGGAGCAUGUGGUUUAAUUCGAUGAUACGCGAGGAACCUUACCAGGCUUAAAUG
rnacentral:rRNA from 1 species